UUUGAAAACCUAGUGGCGAACGGGUGCGUAACACGUGAACAAUCUACCUUUAAGUGGGGAAUAGCUCGCCGAAAGGCGAAUUAAUACCGCAUGUGGUCGAAGCUCGCAUGAGCUUCGAACUAAAGUCAGGGACCGCAAGGCCUGACGCUUCUAGAGGAGUUCGCGGCCUAUCAGCUAGUUGGCGAGGUAACGGCUCACCAAGGCUAAGACGGGUAGCUGGUCUGAGAGGAUGAUCAGCCACACUGGAACUGAGACACGGUCCAGACACC
rnacentral:rRNA from 1 species